UUGGAGGGCAAGUCUGGUGCCAGCAGCCGCGGUAAUUCCAGCUCCAAUAGCGUAUAUUAAAGUUGUUGCAGUUAAAAAGCUCGUAGUUGAAUUUCGGGGUUAGUAGGUUGGUCAUGCCUCUGGUAUGUACUGAUCUCACUGAUUCCUCCCUCUUGACGAACUGUAAUGUCAUUAAUUUGGUGUUGCAGGAAAUCAGGACUGUUACUUUGAAAAAAUUAGAGUGUUUAAAGCAGGCUAAGGCUUGAAUACAUUAGCAUGGAAUAAUGAAAUAGGACGUUUGAACCUAUUUUGUUGGUUUCUAGGAUCGACGUAAUGAUUAAUAGGGAUAGUUGGGGGCAUUAGUAUUCAAUUGUCAGAGGUGAAAUUCUUGGAUUUAUUGAAGACUAACUACCGCGAAAGCAUUUGCCAAGGAUGUUUUCAUUAAUCAAGAACGAAAGUUAGGGGAUCGAAGACGAUCAGAUACCGUCGUAGUCUUAACCAUAAACUAUGCCGACUAGGGAUCGGAUGAUGUUAAUUUUUUAAUGACUCAUUCGGCGCCUUACGGGAAAC
rnacentral:rRNA from 1 species